GGGCGCUUAGCUCAGUUGGUAGAGCACUUGACUUUUAAUCAAGGUGUCAUAGGUUCGAACCCUAUAGCGCCUG
rnacentral:tRNA from 1 species